CGCGUCUGAUUAGCUAGUUGGUAAGGUAACGGCUUACCAAGGCGACGAUCAGUAGCCGACCUGAGAGGGGGAUCGGCCACAUUGGAACUGAGACACGGUCCAAACUCCUACGGGAGGCAGCAGUGGGGAAUAUUGCACAAUGGGCGAAAGCCUGAUGCAGCAACGCCGCGUGAGUGAUGAAGGCCUUCGGGUCGUAAAACUCUGUCCUCAAGGAAGAUAAUGACGGUACUUGAGGAGGAAGCCCCGGCUAACUACGUGCCAGCAGCCGCGGUAAUACGUAGGGGGCUAGCG
rnacentral:rRNA from 1 species